CUACGGCACGGGCUGCUGCCACACCACCAUCUGCAGCUCCUGCGCUUCAGAGUUGGAGCUGGAGGGGAAGAUGCAAAUAAUGGGAAAUCUGGAGUUGGCGAUCGACAAAUAGAAGCUAAGCCUGAUACGCUGACAGUUGAUACUGGUGCUGGGGUUCCAUUCCAUCAAAUAUUUUAGUCAGUUUUCAAGUUCUUUGUAUAUGACCAGAUAUACAGAAAGCAUGCUCAACAACAAGGUAGAGCUGCAAAUAUCUCUUCAAAGAAUAAUUAUGUCCUUACGAAGAAGUUAUCGACCAUUCGAGACUUUGAACCCACUCUCAGAAGAUAUCUGCAUGAUUCCUCUUAAGAAGCUGAAGAGUUUGCCUUCUGGAUGCAUUUUUGGUGUAGAAUUUAUCAAGGUUAUCACUGUGAAAACAACAGAUACUACUUCAGAAAACCUGUAUAUUCAGCAGAGCAACACCUUUGAUGACCAUGGAGUGUAUACUUGGAUUAUUGAAGGC